GAAUUUUGGACAAUGGGGGCAACCCUGAUCCAGCCAUGCCGCGUUCGGGAAGAAGGCCUUCGGGUUGUAAACCGCUUUUGUCGGGGAAGAAACGCUCCCGGCUCAUACCUUGGCGUAAUGACGGUACCCGAAGAAUAAGCACCGGCUAACUACGUGCCAGCAGCCGCGGUAAUACGUAGGGUGCAAGCGUUAAUCGGAAUUACUGGGCGUAAAGCGUGCGCAGGCGGUCAUGCAAGACAGAUGUGAAAUCCCCGGGCUCAACCUGGGAACUGCAUUUGUGACUGCAUGGCUGGAGUUCGGCAGAGGGGGAUGGAAUUCCGCGUGUAGCAGUGAAAUGCGUAGAUAUGCGGAGGAACACCAAUGGCGAAGGCAAUCCCCUGGGCCUGUACUGACGCUCAUGCACGAAAGCGUGGGGAGCAAACAGG
rnacentral:rRNA from 1 species